rnacentral:rRNA from 1 species
GAUGUGAAAGCCCACGGCUCAACCGUGGAGGGUCAUUGGAAACUGGAAAACUUGAGUGCAGAAGAGGAAAGUGGAAUUCCAUGUGUAGCGGUGAAAUGCGCAGAGAUAUGGAGGAACACCAGUGGCGAAGGCGACUUUCUGGUCUGUAACUGACGCUGAUGUGCGAAAGCGUGGGGAUCAAACAGGAUUAGAUAC